rnacentral:rRNA from 1 species
AUUGAACGCUGGCGGCAGGCCUAACACAUGCAAGUCGAACGCGUGGCGGACGGGUGCGUAAUUUCUGGGAAACUGCCUGCUGGAGGGGUAUACCUACUGGCAACGGUAGCUAUUACCGCAUACCAUCAGAUGUGCCCCGAUGGGAUUAGCUAGUUGGUGGGGUAACGGCUCACCAAGGCGACGCUCCCUAGCUGGUCUGAGAGGAGGACCAGCCACACGGGAACGGAGACACGGUCCAGACGCCGACGGGAGGCAGCAGGGGGGAAGAUGGCACAAUGGGAGGAAGCCUGAUGCAGCCAUGCCGCGGGGAUGAAGAAGGCCUUCGGGUUGUAAAGUACUUUCAGCGGGGAGGCGUUACCCGCAGAAGAAGAACCGGCUAACGACGUGCCAGCAGCCGCGGUAAUAC